GCCGAAGUGGUGGAAUGGCAUACACGAUGGUCUCAAAAACCAUUGGUCGCAAGACCUUGAGAGUUCGAAUCUCUCCUUCGGCACCA
rnacentral:tRNA from 1 species